GCCAAUGACAGAAGGAGCUGCUCUCCAAAGAGGGCUGAGGUUUACAUCAGAGAUGUGUUUCCAGUUUCAGCUGCUAGGGGGCAGAACUGCGGUAGCAGUAAUGGAAUGUUUCCAGAAGUGAAGAAGCUGGAGGCAGAAUUAGGCAUCUAGCCAAUUAAAAAGCAAGAAAAGGUGCAGGCCAGAGGAGGCACAGGAACCCGGGCUCAGCAGAGCCUGUAGGCGGGAAUGAGGGUGUGGAAAGCCCAGAGAAAACGCUGAGGUGGCAGUAGGCUGCCAAAAACUGCUGAGAUGCAGGCUGAGAAGGGCUCAGUGGACCCCACGGACCUGGGACUAUCUCUGACGAGGGUACCCAUGGUGCAGUUCCCGCAAACAAGAAUGUUGGAACACAAAAUGAGUAUUUACAGAAAGACUCAGAAACAGUUUACCAUGCCUGGACAUCCCGCCCUUUAUCAUGGAUAUAUGUGCUCCUGACUGUGACUCUAUACUGCAUACAUGGAAUUAGAGAAAACGAGUUAAGAUACGAUAUGAAGAAGAACUUCCAACAUCAACAUCAUCUGGAAGAGUCAUUCCAGAAGAUGAUCAUCAAAAAACUUCAACAAAGAUCCUGGCGCUGUUGCAGUUGUAGCUGCAUUCAUCCCACCGGUUCCUGGACUUGUCAUUGGAAUGAAGAAGGAGAUAUCUAAGCUGGCCUGUACAUACAGUAAAACAACAAAUUUGACUGGAUCUAUAUUGUUGGAACUCAACCAAGAAUUAGGAGAAGUGCAAGGUGCAGUACCCCAAAAUUGUGCGACUAUAGACUAUUUACUGUAAGAACAUAUGGGAUGUGAACAGUUCCCAGGAAUGUGUUGUUUUGUCUGAUUUUUCUCAAACUAUUCAAAUUGUUAGACAAUAUCCAUCAUAUUAUUGAUAAGUUUUCACAAAUGCCUAGGGUACCUAACUGGUUUUCUUGGUUUCACUGGAUAUGGCUGGUAAUUGUAGGUCUGCUUUUGUUGUGUAUCUGUAUUCUUAUUCUGUUAAUGUGUGCAUGCAAUUUAAUUAGUAGUUUGUUAAAACCUAUACAUGCUUAUGUUACUCUACAAGAAGAUAUGUCAAAGAAAUAAUCAAUCUUCCUAUGUUUUCUUCCAUCUGCUACUUCUAUAGCUUUUCUUCUUCCUUCCUAAUUACAACCCUUUAGUAGAAUUUGUGCCUCAUAUCGAAAAUUAUCAAGUAUCAUCAUUCUUCCAAGUGGUAAAGAUACCUCAAGACAAAUGCUGGGCAUAGAAGCCACAGGGCAUAAAUCUGCAAAGAAGUAUAAAGCUAACCUUUUCAAAGAAUAUUGCUUCUCUCUCACUUACCAACUUUACAUUUCCCUGUAUGGCCCCGGAAGACGGCUGGUUAGCCAGAGACCGGUAAGAUUCCUCAAGGGAGGAACAACCUAAGACAGGCACAGUUGCAGGGGGGCCAUUGGGUGAGAAAUUGGGGAUCAGCAGAGGUGAGGCUUAGAACCUCACCCCCCUGUUUUGAGAGAAAUCUUCUGCAUCUGUGGAUGUUUUGUUGCCCUUGUCUAUAGACACAGAUCUGAUCAUCUACAUUUGCCCCCUUACAGCACUACAUUAUGUUUUCUACCUUUAUCUUGCAUCUACCUACCACUUCAUUUUAUUUAAAUAAUUUUAUUUAAUAAAUAAACAAAUACAUAAAUAAAUGAGAAAUGUGGGAUUCACAUAUAAAUCAAGUAUAAAAAUCAAACGAAUAAUCAUAUUUGACUUGAUUGUUUAUAGUUCAUGAUGUGUGAUCAAAACCGAAAGUUUCUGUGAUAUGACUGCCCUUGCACCGUUCACCAUGUAAGAACUUAUUCACUAUGUAAGAACUUGUUCACCAUGUAAGAA